CAGAAGAUGACAUGUACAGAACCGACUC
rnacentral:piRNA from 1 species